UACGAAGGGGGCUAGCGUUGUUCGGAAUUACUGGGCGUAAAGGGCGCGUAGGCGGUCCUGAUCGUCGGAUGUGAAAGGCCUGGGCUCAACCUGGGAACUGCAUCCGAUACGGCGGGACUGGAGUGUGGGAGAGGUUGGUGGAAUUCCCAGUGUAGAGGUGAAAUUCGUAGAUAUUGGGAAGAACACCGGUGGCGAAGGCGGCCAACUGGACCACAACUGACGCUAAGGCGCGAAAGCGUGGGGAGCAAACAGG
rnacentral:rRNA from 1 species